CCUACGGGGUGCAGCAGUGAGGAAUAUUGGUCAAUGGACGCAAGUCUGAACCAGCCAUGCCGCGUGCAGGAAGACGGCUCUAUGAGUUGUAAACUGCUUUUGUACGAGGGUAAACGCAGAUACGCGUAUCUGUCUGAAAGUAUCGUACGAAUAAGGAUCGGCUAACUCCGUGCCAGCAGCCGCGGUAAUACGGAGGAUUCAAGCGUUAUCCGGAUUUAUUGGGUUUAAAGGGUGCGUAGGCGGUCGGAUAAGUUAGAGGUGAAAUCCCGAGGCUCAACUUCGGAAUUGCCUCUGAUACUGUUCGUCUAGAGAGUAGUUGCGGUAGGCGGAAUGUAUGGUGUAGCGGGGAAAGGCUUAGAGAUCAUACAGAACACCGAUUGCGAAGGCAGCUUACCAAGCUACUUCUGACGUUGAGGCACGAAAGCGUGGGGAGCAAACAGGAUUAGAUACCCGAGUAGUC
rnacentral:rRNA from 1 species